ensembl:lncRNA
AUGAGACGAGGCAGUAAUCCUCAGUAUUUUCUGCAAGUAGAAAACAGGAGGAGAAAUGUUUUCGUGACCCAGCUGGGACAAGACAGGAAAGAAGAGGGUGAGGAUGUCUCUCCCAUUCCUGUCGUUAAUGAGGUCUCUGUUGGUGAGAUUAUGCAGCAUAACAAAAAGGCGCUGCAUAGAUUCCAGCUUUUGAAGAAAAGAGAGGAAUGUGACCAGAUGACUGUUGAACUGAAUGCAAAGAAGCAAGAGUUUAAAGAGAAGUUGGAACUGCUGACUAAGCGAAGUGGGGAACUCAACCAAAAGGGUCAAAAAUUCAGGGCUCAUGCUCUUGGAUUUGAAUUUUAUCUUCAAGAGUGUGAAAAGAAGAAACAGCGUUAUGUGGAGAAGUUCAAGACGGAACGAAAACUUAACUUGAUAAAGAGGCAUGAGAUCAUCAAACUGAAAGAGGAGAUUAAAAAACUCCAAGCCAGAAAACAGAAACUACAAAAGAAGAUUGCAAAAUAUAAAAAUAUUGCAAAUUUUCUUCAGAAAGUGGUAAACAUCCUGCCCUCCAGUGAAUAUGCCUAUCUGGGUUAUCAGGAAGACUCUGUUGUUAGAGCCCUCAUAGAAAGGCAUCUGACUUUGGUGACUGAAAAUCGAAACUUAUUGAACCAUUUGUGUGUUUUGCAAUAUGAACUUGAGGAACUCCAACAUGAAUUUGCAGUCUUACAGGAGGAACAAAACAUCCACAAAUAUAUGCUGAUUAGUAAAGUUUCUGAACUUCAAUCAAAGAGUAGCAUGUUGCAUGGCAAAAAUAUUACAUUGACACUGUGUGCUAACAGUGCAGAAGACAAAUUCACUCACCAAAGCAAAUUGUUGACCAGCAUGUUGAUGGCCAUCUCUGAACUCGCAGAGCAGUGCUACUUGAGGACUUAUGGUCCAUUCAAGGAAAUGACCUUGCACUCCAAGCUGAACAUGAUCCAAGAAUUCAUUUUGGAGAAAAAACGGAUGAAAGAGGAACUGAUGCCAUUAAUCAGACGUGGAAAGUCAUCCAUUACUCUUUUAAAGGAACAAUGCCAAAGAAGAAUAAGCAUUCAAAAACAGCCAAGUUUUUUAAUGGAAGGAGACAUAGCAUAAAUGAUGGGCAUUUCUUUCAAAUUAUCAGACAUUGGGGGGGGGGGGGGGCACUGAAUGGAGUAGAGGGAUUUCUUUCCUGUAUUGUGUAAGUCUCCACAGAUGGACAUCAAUACAGUGCCAGAAAUGCUUUUGUGGGUGGAAAAGGGGGUCUUUCUGGCUGGAUUUGUUUUUGCAAAUAUGGCUGAAUUCUACAACUUUCAUGCUAUUUUCGUUUGUUCACUAUGUCUAGAAAGCAUUGAUGAUGCUAUUUCAUGCAUUUCCCCCCUUUUAAUGUACUAUUUCCUUCUACAACCAUUUGGACACACAAGUGGGCAGAUAACAGAUUGUGGCUGUUACACCAUUUCACAACUAUGAAUGUCUCAUGCUCUGUCUGUGAGCAUAAUUAGCACCUUUCACACAUCUGUCAUUUUUGUAACAGUAAGCAAAUGUGUUCACCACAUGGUCACAUUUUGUGAGUUGUUGUUUGGAUCUGGGGUUUCUCCACUAUGUUGUAUACAGUUUUUAAUUCAUGCCACUAUGAUGUUUGCAAGAAAAUGUUUAUUAUCCUAGGCUAUUUUGUGUGUGCAUGCACUUAUGCACAUAUUCAAAUAGGAGUAGGGUUGGAUGAGAAACCUGUAAAGUAUCAGAGCAUUAUGAGAAAAUCUGAAAUGAUGGUACUGCUUGAUUGAAGAAGGAUGGUUCUACACAGACAUUAUCAUUCAGUUUGAAGCUGGUCAGAUGAUAAGGUGUCCAUAAAAUGUACACCCCAAUGCACACUGGAGCACAUAUUAAGCCAAAAACAGCGUAAUAAAAAAAAACCUCACUCAAAAUUCCAGAAUAAGCCAGUAAAUCCACUGCAGCUGAUCAGAGUCUAUGCUAAGCAUGGCUUGAAUCCAAGACUUAAAAAUACGGAGUGCUUAUCACAGGCAUGAGCAAACUUCAGCCCUCCAGGUGUUUGGACUUCAAGUCCCACAAUUCCUAACAGCCUGCCGGCUAUUAGGAAUUGUGAAAAUUGAAGCUCAAAACACCUGGAGGGCUGAAGUUUGUCCAUGCAUGGCUUAUCAGGACACCACUGAUGCUGAAUCAUUUUAAAAACAAAAAAAUGCAGUUGGCCAGAAGGUAAACAAGUUUUCCCUCAAGAGAGGAAACCGCUUCAUUCCCAUCGGAAUGGUCACUAUCCACCCCCUUGUUCCCAUUUUCUGUGUCCUGCCAUAGUCUUUUGCUGAUAUGCAUCUCCUGAGCAGACAUGAUAAGAAAAAUAAAAACAUUCCUGGGUGUGGUUCUGAUCCACAACCAGCGGAUACUCUGGCCACCAUCCCAGCCUCGAACCGGUUCCUGGGGUGAUUGUGUAGUCACUCCGCAGUAGAAUCAAUUUGGUUUAAUCCACUUUCUAACUUGAUCUUAGUGUAGAACCACCCUAACACUUAUGGACUUCCCCACCAUAGAUUUUUCAAUUUGAACUGAAGCAACAGAGCAUAUCACAUACCACUAGUAAACAAGACAUCCUACAAACAACAUCUCUCUUACAUGCAUCCUCAGCCUCCUUCCACUUGCAAUAUUGGGAUCAUAGUUGGCAUAAUGCCCUAGUUUUAUUGCUCCUUGGAGAUUUUUCAUGGAUUCCUCAAUUGGGAAUUAGAAUAUAUUGGGUGAUUUGAGGAAACCAGAAUUCCCAGGAGUUCUCAAGAAAACAUAUGUACAUUCAUUCUGUUUUUGUUUUUCUGCUUUAAAAAUAUUAAUAAGCUGCUGAAAUUCAUUUAGCCACUUGCGCCUUCUUAAGUGGACUUUUGUUUGUAUUAUAUUUUGUGCUGUGUUGGAUUAGAAUUGCUAUGCUGAGUAGAUUCUGCUGGCACAUUUUCUUUUCUUGUAUUGUAAUACAACUGGAUUGUACAUUGUUCGUAACUGUAGAGAAUUCUCCUUUGAGAUGUUUUAAUAAAUAAGUUAAAAACUAUCUUGGGCUCUGAUCUAGAAAUAAUCUUAAUAAAUUAAUGAAGUGAAAAAAAAAUCUUUUCCCACCAUCUGCCAUUAAAUGUAAUUAAUUGAACUAUACCUUUCAGCAUAGGUUUUUUUCCCCCCAUAUGAGUGUACAGACCUGGAGCUCAAGUCUCAUUUCUUGGAA